rnacentral:rRNA from 1 species
GGUUAAGCGACUAAGCGUACACGGUGGAUGCCCUGGCAGUCAGAGGCGAUGAAGGACGUGCUAAUCUGCGAUAAGCGUCGGUGAGGUGAUAUGAACCGUUAUAACCGGCGAUUUCCGAAUGGGGAAACCCAGUGUGUUUCGACACACUAUCAUUAACUGAAUCCAUAGGUUAAUGAGGCGAACCGGGGGAACUGAAACAUCUAAGUACCCCGAGGAAAAGAAAUCAACCGAGAUUCCCCCAGUAGCGGCGAGCGAACGGGGAGGAGCCCAGAGCCUGAAUCAGUGUGUGUGUUAGUGGAAGCGUCUGGAAAGGCGCGCGAUACAGGGUGACAGCCCCGUACACAAAAAUGCACAUGCUGUGAGCUCGAUGAGUAGGGCGGGACACGUGGUAUCCUGUCUGAAUAUGGGGGGACCAUCCUCCAAGGCUAAAUACUCCUGACUGACCGAUAGUGAACCAGUACCGUGAGGGAAAGGCGAAAAGAACCCCGGCGAGGGGAGUGAAAAAGAACCUGAAACCGUGUACGUACAAGCAGUGGGAGCCUCUUAAUGGGGUGACUGCGUACCUUUUGUAUAAUGGGUCAGCGACUUAUAUUCUGUAGCAAGGUUAACCGAAUAGGGGAGCCGAAGGGAAACCGAGUCUUAACUGGGCGUUAAGUUGCAGGGUAUAGACCCGAAACCCGGUGAUCUAGCCAUGGGCAGGUUGAAGGUUGGGUAACACUAACUGGAGGACCGAACCGACUAAUGUUGAAAAAUUAGCGGAUGACUUGUGGCUGGGGGUGAAAGGCCAAUCAAACCGGGAGAUAGCUGGUUCUCCCCGAAAGCUAUUUAGGUAGCGCCUCGUGAAUUCAUCUCCGGGGGUAGAGCACUGUUUCGGCAAGGGGGUCAUCCCGACUUACCAACCCGAUGCAAACUGCGAAUACCGGAGAAUGUUAUCACGGGAGACACACGGCGGGUGCUAACGUCCGUCGUGAAGAGGGAAACAACCCAGACCGCCAGCUAAGGUCCCAAAGUCAUGGUUAAGUGGGAAACGAUGUGGGAAGGCCCAGACAGCCAGGAUGUUGGCUUAGAAGCAGCCAUCAUUUAAAGAAAGCGUAAUAGCUCACUGGUCGAGUCGGCCUGCGCGGAAGAUGUAACGGGGCUAAACCAUGCACCGAAGCUGCGGCAGCGACACUAUGUGUUGUUGGGUAGGGGAGCGUUCUGUAAGCCUGUGAAGGUGUGCUGUGAGGCAUGCUGGAGGUAUCAGAAGUGCGAAUGCUGACAUAAGUAACGAUAAAGCGGGUGAAAAGCCCGCUCGCCGGAAGACCAAGGGUUCCUGUCCAACGUUAAUCGGGGCAGGGUGAGUCGACCCCUAAGGCGAGGCCGAAAGGCGUAGUCGAUGGGAAACAGGUUAAUAUUCCUGUACUUGGUGUUACUGCGAAGGGGGGACGGAGAAGGCUAUGUUGGCCGGGCGACGGUUGUCCCGGUUUAAGCGUGUAGGCUGGUUUUCCAGGCAAAUCCGGAAAACCAAGGCUGAGGCGUGAUGACGAGGCACUACGGUGCUGAAGCGACAAAUGCCCUGCUUCCAGGAAAAGCCUCUAAGCAUCAGGUAACAUCAAAUCGUACCCCAAACCGACACAGGUGGUCAGGUAGAGAAUACCAAGGCGCUUGAGAGAACUCGGGUGAAGGAACUAGGCAAAAUGGUGCCGUAACUUCGGGAGAAGGCACGCUGAUAUGUAGGUGAAGCGACUUGCUCGUGGAGCUGAAAUCAGUCGAAGAUACCAGCUGGCUGCAACUGUUUAUUAAAAACACAGCACUGUGCAAACACGAAAGUGGACGUAUACGGUGUGACGCCUGCCCGGUGCCGGAAGGUUAAUUGAUGGGGUUAGCGGUAACGCGAAGCUCUUGAUCGAAGCCCCGGUAAACGGCGGCCGUAACUAUAACGGUCCUAAGGUAGCGAAAUUCCUUGUCGGGUAAGUUCCGACCUGCACGAAUGGCGUAAUGAUGGCCAGGCUGUCUCCACCCGAGACUCAGUGAAAUUGAACUCGCUGUGAAGAUGCAGUGUACCCGCGGCAAGACGGAAAGACCCCGUGAACCUUUACUAUAGCUUGACACUGAACAUUGAGCCUUGAUGUGUAGGAUAGGUGGGAGGCUUUGAAGUGUGGACGCCAGUCUGCAUGGAGCCGACCUUGAAAUACCACCCUUUAAUGUUUGAUGUUCUAACGUGGGCCCCUAAUCGGGGUUGCGGACAGUGUCUGGUGGGUAGUUUGACUGGGGCGGUCUCCUCCUAAAGAGUAACGGAGGAGCACGAAGGUUGGCUAAUCCUGGUCGGACAUCAGGAGGUUAGUGCAAUGGCAUAAGCCAGCUUGACUGCGAGCGUGACGGCGCGAGCAGGUGCGAAAGCAGGUCAUAGUGAUCCGGUGGUUCUGAAUGGAAGGGCCAUCGCUCAACGGAUAAAAGGUACUCCGGGGAUAACAGGCUGAUACCGCCCAAGAGUUCAUAUCGACGGCGGUGUUUGGCACCUCGAUGUCGGCUCAUCACAUCCUGGGGCUGAAGUAGGUCCCAAGGGUAUGGCUGUUCGCCAUUUAAAGUGGUACGCGAGCUGGGUUUAGAACGUCGUGAGACAGUUCGGUCCCUAUCUGCCGUGGGCGCUGGAGAACUGAGGGGGGCUGCUCCUAGUACGAGAGGACCGGAGUGGACGCAUCACUGGUGUUCGGGUUGUCAUGCCAAUGGCACUGCCCGGUAGCUAAAUGCGGAAGAGAUAAGUGCUGAAAGCAUCUAAGCACGAAACUUGCCCCGAGAUG